CCCUAUUCCCCCCACCCUCAGACAAUCCCAGCAAUACCUCCCAUCAUCAUCACGGGAAUAAGAGUGAGCCUCGUGAUCCUUAUCAGGGUGAAUACGAAUGGAUUGGAAUAACCUCUGCAUUAAUGGUUCCUGUUCUCUCUGCAAUCAUUGUUAUCAUAACUAGACAAGCAAAACAUGUUCAUUAUUCUGUCUUUGUUUUCUGGUUCGGGGUCGGAGGUUUAUUUGUAUCUCUGGUUGGAAUGUAUGCUAUUGAUCCCAAUGCAAGACCUUUAUUUGUGGUAAUUUAUUUUUAUUAUUUAGUUAU